rnacentral:rRNA from 1 species
ACGCUCGACACCUACGAGGCAGCAGUGGGGAAUAUUGCACAAUGGGGGAAACCCUGAUGCAGCGACGCCGCGUGGAGGAAGAAGGUCUUCGGAUUGUAAACUCCUGUUGUUGGGGAAAAGAGGAUGGUACCCAACAAGGAAGUGACGGCUAACUACGUGCCUAGCACGCCGGACGGUAAUCNGAGGCGGCGUGGACGAAGGC